AGAGUUUGAUCAUGGCUCAGGAUGAACGCUGGCGGCGUGCCUAACACAUGCAAGUCGAGCGAUUUACUUCGGUAAAGAGCGGCGGACGGGUGAGUAACGCGUGGGUAACCUGCCCUGUACACACGGAUAACAUACUGAAAGGUAUGCUAAUACGAGAUAAUAUGCUUUUAUCGCAUGGUAGAAGUAUCAAAGCUUUUGCGGUACAGGAUGGACCCGCGUCUGAUUAGCUAGUUGGUAAGGUAACGGCUUACCAAGGCGACGAUCAGUAGCCGACCUGAGAGGGUGAUCGGCCACAUUGGAACUGAGACACGGUCCAAACUCCUACGGGAGGCAGCAGUGGGGAAUAUUGCACAAUGGGCGAAAGCCUGAUGCAGCAACGCCGCGUGAGCGAUGAAGGCCUUCGGGUCGUAAAGCUCUGUCCUCAAGGAAGAUAAUGACGGUACUUGAGGAGGAAGCCCCGG
rnacentral:rRNA from 1 species